rnacentral:lncRNA from 1 species
UAAUCAUCACCCACCAGAGCCAAGGGGCACCGGGGACAGCGUCUGACAUCACGCUGUUCGGGAAGAGAAGCGUCCAGUGAAGGUGUUGGACGGGCGAUCCACUGGAGAUGGAGCACGGAAAUCCAGAGCGGCCUACGGUUUGGAGGUGUGGCAGUGACUGCCGAAGCGGCGCGGUCUGGACCGGCCGCGUGCGGGCCGCGUGAGGCGCCAGUGGCUGGGCAGGCGCCCCGCUCAGCUCGCCCCGGCCGAUCCGUGUGCGACCAACGCCGCUCGAUCGCUGAGAACGGCGCCGAGGGACGUCUCCGGCCGGAGCUGGCUUGCGAGCUUGCCGGCGCUGCCUAAGGACUGUGGGGCCUUGUGAUUCUGUGAGGGACAGUUCGGGUGAUGAUGGGGGGUUUGCGUUGCAUAACUUCACUAAUGCAGUUUAAAUAACACCGCCGCGUUUGCAGUUGGUGGGAUGCAACCAUGUUAUUUCAAUUAAUAACCGGAUAAUAAAUGCAUAUCUGAAG